GAAGAAGAGCCUUGACAGUUGCUUUGCUUUGUUGCUUCUUUAUCUUUUCAUAAUUAACCUCUAUAGGUUCAAGAAGUUGAGCAGCAAAUUGAAUUCUGGUGACGUCCAUCUGCGCCAGAGCUUGCAACUGAAGCCUGCAGACAAAUGGGUACUACUUUGUUGGACAUGCGGAUUGUACUGAGAGCGAAACCCUACUUCGUGAUUGCUGGCUCUUUCAUGUAAAGGUGGCGAGCGUGGUGGGGGAGCAGCUGUCGUGCACGCAGCCGAGCACGUCGCGGUAGUCCCUAUCGACGGUGAAGGAGUCAUACA